rnacentral:lncRNA from 1 species
CCAACCGGAGAAGACGGCCGACGGCUACGAGCUACGUAGCCGAGGUCCGGCGAGCCAGGGAUUCAAGGUCCUUGACAGAGAACACCUUGUGUCAACAAUGUUAAAAGUGUGCUUAUGCAACUGUCUUCUCAUACAGUACUGGGUGCUUGGUGCAAAAGUACACAAUGGAUAUUCAGCCCUUUUGAGAUGUAUUUACUUUGACAAUAUCAUUCCAUUACAUGGGGAAUAGCACCAGAGCAUGGUAUCUCUUGAUCGACACCUAAGCCAGCACCAAGAUGCACUGUCCCCUGAGUUUGGCAAGGGGCAGGUAAGAGUGUGUUUAUUGCAAUUGUAUUCUCACCUAGUUUAUGGUGAUUUGUGUAAAUGUUGUUCGUGCAUGUUCAGCAUUUUGGGAUAAUUUUGUAAUAAAUAACAUGAAGGGAACAAAGGCGAAACAAAACAGUGGUAUAAAU